rnacentral:rRNA from 1 species
CCUACGGGAGGCAGCAGUAAGGAAUAUUGGUCAAUGGACGAAAGUCUGAACCAGCCAUGCCGCGUGAAGGAUGAAGGCCCUCUGGGUUGUAAACUUCUUUUAUCUGGGACGAAAAAAGGGUAUUCUUACUCACUUGACGGUACCAGAGGAAUAAGCACCGGCUAACUCCGUGCCAGCAGCCGCAGUAAUACGGAGGGUGCAAGCGUUAUCCGGAUUCACUGGGUUUAAAGGGAGCGUAGGUGGGCUGAUAAGUCAGUGGUGAAAUCUCCGGGCUUAACCCGGAAACUGCCAUUGAUACUAUCAGUCUUGAAUUAUCUGGAGGUAAGCGGAAUAUGUCAUGUAGCGGUGAAAUGCUUAGAUAUGACAUAGAACACCAAUUGCGAAGGCAGCUUGCUACGGAUUGAUUGACACUGAGGCUCGAAAGCGUGGGGAUCAAACAGGAUUAGAUACCCUGGUAGUCCACGCCCUAAACGAUGGAUACUCGACAUCAGCGAUACACUGUUGGUGUCUGNGNGAAGANAUAAGUAUACCACCNCGGAGACGACGACGAGUAGAACGACGAAGAAGUAGUAGACGNGAGAGAGACGACGACGACGACGAGGAGGAGGAG